CAUAUAGAUUAUCACAGAAUUCUGGGUGGAGUUCCCUGUGUUAUAUUGUUUUUCUUAAGGGAGGCAGGAGGGUAAAAGGAACCAAGGUAGGAGGCGGAAAAGCUGAUUGGAAGGUGUGUUGCUGAAAAAGCUAGCAAUAGUUUGGACUACUUCAUGUUGUUGGACUGUCCUAUGAAAGGCCUCAUCAACUGCAUCUCAGGACCACAGAUUGUUGGGAAGAAAGAGAAACAUUACCUGCUUUUCUUAUCAGCCAUUGGUUAAAGGUUUGAUAUACUGGGAUUUCCCUGAAAUUCCAGAUUGCGUUUGUGUACAAGACCACUCACACCUCAAUGUCAACAAGAAAGUCCUGGGUGAUGAGAGGCAUGUGGCAGGGGCCUUAAAGUAAGGCAUUGCCAAGUUCUGUCUGAAUCAGAUCACUGCAGACUCUUUCAGAGCUGGUUACUGCAGCAGCAGUUGAAACAAAAGACACAUGAGGUCAAGAGACUGUGAGUUGGUAUAAGAAAGCAAUGAUGGAUAUGGUUAGUUAAGGACAUGAGGAAGUUGGCCAGGGAUGGGAGAGAGCAAAUGGUCUAGAGUUUUCAGAUAUGAGGUCUAGGCUCAAAAGGAAUGGCUUAUGAAGAAAGUGAAGGGAACCCUCUUACCCUGUUGGUGGGGACUAUAAAUUGGUACAACUACUAUGGAAAACAGUAAGGAGGUUCCUCCGAAAACAAAAUAGAACUACCGUAUGAUCCAGCAAUCCUACUCCUGGGCAUUUAUCCAGAGAAAACCAGAAUUUGAAAAGAUACAUGCACCCCAUUGUUUAUUGCAGCACUGUUUACAAUAGCCAAGACAUGGAAACAACCUCAAUGUCUUUUGACAGAAGAGUGGAUAAAGAAGUAGUGGUACAUAUAUACAAUGGAAUAUUACUCAGCCGUAAAUAAGAAUGAAAUAAUGCCAUUUGCAGCAACAUGGAUGGACCUAGAAAUUAUCAUACUAAGUGAAGUUAGACAAUGAAAGACAAACCUCAUAUGAUACUACUGAUAUGUGGAAUCUUAAAAGAUACAAAUUAAUUUGUCUGUAAAGCAGAAACAGACUUACCGACUU
rnacentral:lncRNA from 1 species